AUCCUCGAUUGUUUUUUUGAGUAUUUUGGAUUCUGCAGAUUUUGGUUGCACCGAGAAAUAGUUCAAGACUUGCGCAAACUUUUUAGUUGAAAAGGGGAGUGAGUCCGCAACUGGACGCGGUAAGAAAGCAGUUUUGCUGGCUUUACUGGUUAGCACCUUUAAGUUCAUCUUAGUACCAGGUCGAAGCUUACUCUCAAAAAAGAAAACGUCCUUAUUGGUUGCCAUAUUUCCAUCUCCAAACUCUUGUUUUGAAUUGCCUGCUGCGUUUUCAUAAUUCCUAUUACCCUCUGCCAUAUUUCCUUUGUACCUUUUGAUCAUAUUAGCCAAAGCAUUUUUCAUGUGAUUUCCUACAUAUAUUUCAUUUGCAGAGAGAUAUCUAGAGCAUUAGAAGACUUACCUGAAUUAUAUAUGUCUACUCAAUCAUUGAGGAAAAGAAAAGAAAAUUGAAAACAAACCAGCAGCAGCAGGGGGGAUUAAAAGAUUUUGCAAGGCUUUGGGCAUUGGAGUGUUUGGGAACACAGACGUCCAGUACAUCUCUGCUGGUAG
rnacentral:lncRNA from 1 species